rnacentral:lncRNA from 1 species
CUUGGACUUGUUGCCCAAGUCAUCUGGGAGGCAGCUGGCCAUCUACGUCUGAAGUGCAGGAGUGAAGUCUAAAGGGAGACUCAGACCCCGGGAAUAUCUCCGGAGCCAUCAGCUGAAGCCCCAGGAGAGGAUGAGAUUAUCUGGGAAGGCAUAUAGAGUGGGAAGAGGGUGAACCCUCCAGUAAAUGGCGUUGAGUCCCUCAUGUUUCCCUGUCCUUAGUGUGCCGUGAAGUCCUUCCCAGUCCUUCCCUCACAUGAAGCCUUUCUCGUUUUAUUUUACUCCCUUCGUGUCUCCCAACUUCCUUCUCUCAACCAUGGACAGCUGCUCAAGCACACUUAACAUGUGUUCUGAUGUGUUCACUUAGAUGUAUUUGUACCCUCAAAAUCGCAUGCUGGCCGUGGUGCUGUGUGUGAUUUGCGUAAGUGAUGUUCCACUCUGCGUCUCAUCUGUCUCUGGCUCUCUUCAGCUUUAACCCUAUC